UCUGGCGACCGGCGCACGGGUGAGUAACACGAUCCAACCUGCCGAUAACUCGGGGAUAGCCUUUCGAAAGAAAGAUUAAUACCCGAUGGCAUAAUUAGACCGCAUGGUCUUAUUAUUAAAGAAUUUCGGUUAUCGAUGGGGAUGCGUUCCAUUAGGCAGUUGGUGAGGUAACGGCUCACCAAACCUUCGAUGGAUAGGGGUUCUGAGAGGAAGGUCCCCCACAUUGGAACUGAGACACGGUCCAA
rnacentral:rRNA from 1 species